AGGAGGGAGGGGAGGAAAUGGGAGGGGGAAGGACAGACAGGGACUGGCACACGCUUGCGGCGGGGAGGGGGAAGGGGGGGCAGGGCCCACGGGUGCCUGGCCCGGACACCGCUGUGACAUGCCACCAGCAUGGACACAUGUGCUACACGCCAAGAUGCAGAUGUCAGGCACGCGCAGCCCACACACAGCUGACACACGUCGCAGGGACCCUCAUAGACAAGCGCAUCACAUACAAAGGUGGACAGCCAUCAGCAGACGGGGACACGUACACGUCACACACAAAGACGCAGGGACCGCACUGGAAACGCACAGGCAGGCCGGCUUCCAGCACAGAUGCACCCGGCCACGCAGGAACGUCAAAGCAUCACAAAGACCCACACAUGCCCCAGACAAAGUAAAGCCCCAAAUCCACAGACGCACACAGCACAAAGAUCCCCACGGACACCACUGUGACAUGCUGACACUCACAGUCACAGCCACGCAGAGAGCCCCUAGACAAAUGAGCAACAAAGAAUACCCACAGACACAAGUAUCACAUACAUGCAUGUCACAUGGACAUGCACAGACAGCAAUUGCAUGGACACACGCAGACACAUACAUCAUAUGAACUAACAUAGACACGGACCCAGCAGCUACACAGAGACAGGCACAUCACAUACAUGAGGCAACUGAGGCACAGCGCGGGGUAGUCACCUGCCCCAAGGCACACAAGCCGGGAAGUGGCAAAGCUGGGACUGGAACCCGGUCCAUCGGGGACACCGACACAUCAGACAAGGACACACAUACAUCACGUGCCAGGCCGCCGCCGUCUCGGGGUCACAUCCCACCCUCCAGCGCCCCGAGCUGCAGACACACCCGGAAGCGCGGACUCCCACCCUGGGCGCGGACCUCUCCAUCGUCCGGGCAGGAGUCUCGCUAUGUUGCCCAGGCUGGAAUGCAGCAGCUAUUCACAGAAUAAUCAUAGCACACUAUACCCUUGAAACCCUGAGCUCAAGCAAUCCUCCGACCUCAGCCUCCCAAGUAGCUGGGACUACAGGCAUCCACCAGCAAGCCUGGCUUACCAGUCCCUUUUUUAAGAGAUUACUUCCUUGGCACCACAAUCUAGAUUAUUUCCUUUACUAUAUGCUCUCAAAGAACUUGGCUUCUUUAUUUCAGAGCAUCUUAUUUUGUUAGCAUAUUAUAUUGAGUAAUAUAAUUAAGUAGUGCAAUUAUAAAUAUCUACUCCCACUACACUGCUGGUGUCAGGCAAGCAGGGACUACCUUGGUCUUGAUUGUAGUUGUAAGAUCUGGAAGCUAGCUCAAUAAAUAUCUGUUGAACAAAUGAAUGAAUACUCUAGCGCUGUUUUUGAAAGAUAGCACCUCCUCCAUCCUUCCAGAAGUUCUCAUGACUGAACCCACCCGAAAGGUUCUUGGCCUGGGGUCCAGGGACCCUUAAAAGGCUUGUAGAUAUAAUUCAUGGGGUCUAUGGCCUUAGAUAAGAAGAAAAAUCACAUUUUUAUUUUCACUAAGCUCUAACUGAUAUCUAGUAUUUCUUCCUAUUUUCAUGGCAGAUUGUAUUUUCCAAAGAUAGCCUCAAUAAUAUUUCCCAUACUAUAUGCUUUUCCAGAUAUUGCCACUUCCCCAUUGGGAAGUGAAAACUAUGUCUCUACACCUUGAACCUGAAGGGACUACCUCAACUAACAAGGAUUCAACAGUAGUGCUUCUAUGUGACUUCUGAGGCCAGGUUGUAAAAAUGCCAUGCCUUGUUUUCUUAAAACAAACACUCUUACAAUUCAGCUUUCAUGAUGUGAGGAAGCCCAAGAGUCUGAGGAAGCCCACAUGGAGAGGAAAUGAAAUCCCCAGCCCUUAAUUCCCUCUGAGCUGCCAGCCAACAGCUAGCAUCAAUUCUUAGAACUCAGCCUCCAUGCUGUGAGGAAGCUCAAGAGUCCACGAGAAAGCCCACAAAGAGAGAAAAUGAUGUCCCCAGCCCUUAGUCCCCACUAAGUUGCUAGCCAACAGUCAGCACUAACUUGCCAGCCAUGUGAGCUAUCUUGAAAGCAGUUUCUUAUU